rnacentral:pre_miRNA from 1 species
UGCUGCUGCUGCUGCUGAUGAUGAUGAUGAUGACGAUCAUGAUGAUCAUGAUCGUCAUCAUCAUCAUCAUCGUCGUUUAAC